AGUUUACGAUAAGAACUGGUCACUCAGGUGCUAAUGCUACGAUGAUUACUCAUAUCUAUCCUAUAAUUCACUAACUUCAUUCAUCAAAUCCAACGGAUGAAAAUCAUCAAACAUUUCCGAUUCAAUGAUAGCAGCGCACGCGGAUCACGCAGUGGGAGGGAGAUCGCGCGCACGCGUAGUCACCGGGCAUAAAAUCUUUGUUUCCUUCCACGCCUCCUCUUUUCCUCCGGAUAUCGCUGCGCCACCAUCCGUCCAUCCCUUCAGCCGCCAACCGCCCCCUCCGUCCGUGCACCCACCCCUCGCGCCCCUUCCUCCCUCCUGCCGCUCCCCCGCCGACGGCAGCACCUUCACCUGCCCCGCCGCCGGAUCGACGGGAGUCGCCGACCUUCCUCCGCCAAACUCCGAUCUUGCGGCGUUCACUUUUCCUCCGCAGCCAUUGCCCCGUAUCCUCCUCCGCUUCAUCGCCGCCGCCACCGCCGCCGAUGCCGCAUCUAUAGGACCAGCGUCGUCGUGGGUGGCAGCGGCGGUGGCGCGGGUGAAAUCGGAGGUGCGUGGCCGCCGCGGACGAAGCUGGCGAUGGCCACCAAGGGGCUCGACAGAGGGGCGGCAGAGGGGAUAUAUCGAUGCGCAUCCACGUCGGAAGGGUGGAGGCACGUUCAAUAUCGACACUGGCCAUUGUGCCUUUUUUUUUUCCCGCACAAUAUGCUUGGUGGAAUUACCUGGAGGAUGAUUAUUUUUGUUUACUUGAAUCAUAUCAUUCACACUCGUUCAUGGCUCAAGGACACGUUCUUCUAUUUUUCCGUUCUGUCUGAUUGUAGCAUCUUCUCCAUGCUUCCAGAUUGGAUACUCACGAGCAUGUCCAAACAAAUAUAGUGAGUCAUCAUUUUCACGGAUCAUAUUUCUGAAUUGAUAUGAGCACUUCCAUAAUCUGUUUUUAGUAUAAUAGUUUUCCAUUGAAGAAAAACAGAGUUAUACGAGCUCAUUUUCAUCCAAGUUUGUCUGCACUUGUUUUGAUGAGGCCAGCUAAAUGAAAUAACUUAUGGUGGGCUUGUUAGAUCUCUUUGGCAUGCAUGCUCUAUUUAUUGACAUAACUUUAGCUACAUGUUUUAGAUUACAACAAUGCGGGAUGAAUAUUUAUCAUUCCUAGCUUGACAGUUUCUGAAUAUUUCAGAUAGAAUGGAUGAUCCCUGCGUGAAAGCAUCAAGUGACAUGAGCACUUUCUUUUCUUCAGUUUGGACUGAAACAAGAAGGGAGGUCGAUUUUCCUAUUGAGGCCUAUGCCAUGAAUAUUUCCUACUGGUUCUAUACCACCACAUAUGGAACAUAAUUUACCUUGUAAGAGUUUUUGUUUCUUCACUUUCUUUAGUUUGCACUAUCCUUGUGGUUAACACUUGACAGGUCCUGAGAAGUAGUCAGUAGUAUAUACUUUAAUUUGAGAGCAUGGGUAAUGGUGUACUUUUAUGCAUAUCCCUGUGCACUCAUCACACUGUUUCAUGACUGCCAAUAUGCCAUUAUGUGUUUCCUAUGUUCAUCGAUUUCUUCUACUCAUGACUGCCAAUAGUAUGUUAAUAGGAAUAAAUAGGUAAUUUUAGCAGAUUGUAUGUCUAUCGUACCUCUGUAGAUUAUUAUGAAGAGAUAGGUGUAGAGCACUUUCAAGUUUCACCUUUACCCCCAAAGAAGUGAAGGCAUUUGAGAUUAUUAGAAAAACAAUGCUCAUUUCAGUAGGCAAUACCAUAACUGACCCUUCUAAUUUUGAUUGCAGAGUCUGCAAAAUGCUAAGUGGCCCUUUUUUGUGUAACUUGAAUAGUUAUGUUAUCUUUUUAAUUAAUCAUCACUCCCUUUUCUCUUGUAAAUUCAUCCACUAUUAUUGGGACGGGAACAUUUGGAUGUGGAGCAAUUAUUUUCACUGCAGAGAUUGUCAUGUUUGACAACUCAGCUCCUAAGUUGUGGUGCAGGGGUAUGGGCAAAUAUAUGUAGUAACAACAUAUAGAUGUGCCUUAUUGCAGGUUCCUUCAUUGGCAGGUAUGCUCACUUAUCCAACUCUUGUUUAAAUCACUUAAUUAGUUAAGAUGAUACACCAGCAUUACUUUUGUUAUUUUAUAAGAUUUUUACUUUUAUCCAAUAAAGAAUUCAGGCCACACUAUUUGCACUACAGAAAACAAUAAAUUUGAUCAUUUUUAACAUGCCUAUUUUUCUCCUGCUUGAUGUUAUAUUUGGAUGGAUGAACACAUUCAUGCGUAUUUUAUGUUCAUGGGUCAUUGAUGUGAACCAUUUGGGAGGGUUGCCUUUGCACAUAUUUUUGUGGAUAGCUACACUAAGACUGCUGGGUGGCAUAAUUGGGAUUAAUCUGAGAAUGAACUAACUACUUGCUUCUUUGAGUACAGGUAUUGGGCGAAUUUGCAGCUUUAAUUUGCUUCUAUAUAAAGGUUAUGUUUUAUAAAGCAGUGGAAAUGGUUUUGAUGUUUCGGUUCGGUCUACAAUUGGCCGUCGUAAACUGAUUGUUUUUUUUCUAAUGUUAAUGAGAUCAAUUUGCAUAAAUUUAAUUAUAGCCAGUUAUGUGUAGCACGCUUUGGUCUGAACUUAUGCAUUAACUCUGAAGUUCACUUACAAUUGUUGGCAAAUUUGCUUUUACUAACAUGUAUGUACAGGAUGAAAUAUAAAUGUGGAUGGAUUACGAAGUUGCACGGAUUCCAGUUUGCUUCAUUCAGAGAGACCACUUAAAAUGUGGAUAUGGAUAUGGGGAUGGUUAAUGAAUACCCAGUGACAACCCUAGGUAGGAUGAAGGAGAGCGGAUUAGUGUUGGUGAGAGGAGGAUGACACGGUGGUGUUGGACAUAUUUAUAAACAAUUAAUAUGUAACCAAUGUAAGUUGGUUUUCUUAUGUAUUAUGAUGGUAGCAGAUGCUUGACGAGAGAACUAGGAGAACAUGAUGGUGGCAUAUUCAAGAAGAUGCUUGACGAGAGAACUGGGAGAACCCAAAGGAUCUGGAUGAAGUACGUGGCAUAUUACAAAGAAGAUUCAUCAGAGUUUUUUUUUUUUUUUUUUUUUUUUUUUUUUUUUUUUGGAAAGAAGACAUCAUUACGAUGGAUAAGUUGGCUUGUUUUUUCUAUUUAUUAAGAUAGAUAGUGGUUGCUUUGGUAGUGAUGAUGGUUUUGAUGGUGUAGGUUUUCAUAAGAUGGAAGAUAUUCAUGCUCCAUCAGCGUGAUGCAAUAGUAUCGUAGCUAAUUUUGUUCUUAACAACGAUGUCGAUGCCAAGGCUCCAAAACAUAAUUUAUUUAGAUUUUUUUUCUUUCUUUUAUGGUUUUUGGGAUUAAUACUUGUGAUCUUGUUUGAACAUAGAAUCAGAAACUUUUUGAAA